rnacentral:pre_miRNA from 1 species
CUUAGUGGUCUUCCACGGCUUUCUUGAACUGUAUUGCAUAUGGUUUCUCAAUGCAACAUAAUUUCAUGAAUUAUAGCACAAUUCAAGAAGGUCGUGGAAAAUCAUUAUGA